rnacentral:lncRNA from 1 species
GGGGAAAUAGCACCUGUUUUUUCAACAAAGUCGCUUAAUUUGCCCACUUUUCGUUCGCUGAUGCGGAGGUAAUCGCUGUCACAGCCAGGUGGGCAGGCUGUGAGAAUGGGCUCUAAUUAUAUUCAUGUUUUGUACCUGGAACAAUGUAAAAGGCGCUGGUGUUGGACUGACUAAAGGGACACAGCUAGCCUGAACUGCGUCAGUGAGAUGGGCCGAUAUAAUUGCUCAGCACACCCACAGAUGUCCUCAAGUAAUGGCUCACUCAUUGUUCUACUGGUCAAUCAGCAAAGGAAAUCGAUGCAUUUGGGGUCACUUUGAAGAGCAGAAGUGGAGAGCAACACAAUGUUAAACACUAAAUCACUUUUAAGACGGAGUUGCAGAGCAUGAA